rnacentral:rRNA from 1 species
CUUUUAAUGAGAGUUUGAUCCUGGCUCAGGACGAACGCUGGCGGCGUGCCUAAUACAUGCAAGUAGAACGCUGAAGGAGGAGCUUGCUUCUCUGGAUGAGUUGCGAACGGGUGAGUAACGCGUAGGUAACCUGCCUGGUAGCGGGGGAUAACUAUUGGAAACGAUAGCUAAUACCGCAUAAUAUUGACUAU